CGCCGGCUGACUAGGUUGCUCUUGCUUGGAUCACAGGUGCCAAUCCUGCCAUGUCCAGCUUUUUAUAGUCAUUUUCCAUCAAAUCAAGAGGCAGAAGAGACCGGUUCAAGGCAGCUGGUGCCACACCUUUGAUUAAUUACACCUGUGUUUGACCUAGGGAAUACAGAUAAAUCCUGCUGCAGUCAUGUCUAUUCCCUUCAAUAACGUGCUGGAAAAAUCCACUGUCGGGCUGGGAGAUGACUCAGGAGGUAAAAUGCUUGAUGUACAAUUCUGAAGACCCAUGUCUCAUCCCUAGAACCCAGACACAAUUCAUUCCCUGAUCACCUUAGUGUCAGUAAGCUACAGCAAGACUUAUUGUGAAUGUUGUGUCAACAAAUAUCUACUCACCCCAGACAGGGCACACAGAGGUCAAAUGGCGGUGAAUGCUGCUAACCCUAGCACUUGCCACCUUGAGACAUGAAGAUUGUGAGUUGGAGGCCAGGCUGAGCUACAUAGCAGAACACUACCUACAAAGGAUGUUUGCCCAUCCCCACUACUGUGCUUCUGGCCUUCUGGGCACAUUGUCACUGAAAUAUCUAAAAGGGAGAUGGAGACAUUUGAAGAAGGAAGAAAUCUGGGUACCAUGACCAAGACUGAAAUGACAGUUGAUGGUGGAACCGCAUUCUGAAUUACGGUACCUUGAUCCCAAGACUCUAGAUGCCUCUGUUUUGUCCUCCAUGACUGUUGAUGUAUCAACAGUCUGUUUUUUUUGAGAUGGGGUCUCACCUGUAGCCCUGGCCCUCCUGGAACUCACUAUGUAAACUAGGCUGGACUUGAACUUGCAAAGAUCUGCCUGCUUCUACCUCCUGAGUGCUGAGAGUAAAGACAUAUGCCACUCUGCCUUGCCUUCAGAUUUUAGUUCUAGAAAAUAUCUGAUGAUUUUGUUGUUCUGACAUUUGCUCUUGAAUUACCUGUCUGCUUGUCUUCCUGACUGUCCUUCAUCACCUCUAACCUGUUGUCACUCAUUCCUUAUCAGCUCAGGUCUCUGUGAUCAUUUGCCACUAGAGGCUGUUCUGGAGAAGGAAAACAGUUUAUUAUUAAUCACUUUCCACAUAACAAAUAAAUCAUUUUCCCCCAAAUAUGUUUGAUUAUAGUACACCACUGUGCAUAAAAUUCUUCAGUGGCUCUCAUUCCUUAAGAGUCCCCCCAACCCCCAACCAAGUCUUGACUAUAACCACAGUGGCCUACAUAGUUUGCUUCAUAUCCACCUCUCAUGGUUCCUGUGGGCCAGGGACCUAGGGAAUUCAAGUAGAAUGGCCCCACCAGUGGGAGUUUAUGUCUUACUCAUGCAAUAACCCAAGUAGAUACACUCUGUUGGCCAGUGGCUCUGGGUCUUGCUGGGCUGUCCGGGUCCUCCCAACCAUCACUCCCCUUCCCUCGGGGCAGAGAGUCAAAGGAAGAAUGGUUUUUCCUUUAUAAUCAAGGGCACCUUGCUUCCUUCCAUCCAUUGGCUAUAAUGCAAUCACAUGACAAUCCCUAACUACAAAGGAAGUUGGGAAAUGCCAUUCAGCUGUGUGCUACUGGGAUAGAAAGAAGGAGCCUGUGGGCUGCCUCAAGUUUUUCUGCACAUAUCUGCCUUCACUCUUGUCUUCCCCUUACAUGCUAGAGCUGUGCAGUGUCCCCAAGUCCUCAAAGCACCCGUGGUCAUUUCCACAAGGAUGUGGUAUUCAUUUCCUGUGGGUUUCCAUAUAGAGUUCAUUCUCCUAAUCUAGUUAUUUUUUACUGUCUUUGACUCCCAGCUCGUGCAUCCCUUCCCUAGUGUAGACGUGAUCAUUCCACCAGAAACACCCCAUCCACCCAGUUCCUCCUUGUCAUAUGUUCUUACUGAACCUGCUAAGGAACUCCACACAAAUCUAUGACUAGAAACUCCACAUGAGGCUGGAGAGCUCAAGGGACAGCAUUUGCUUCCAGCACUCAUGCUGUUUCCAAGUUUAGCUUCCAGCACUCAUACUGAGCCGCUGACAAUUCCUGAACUCUGGCUUCUGUGGAUCUGGGACUCUCUUCCAGCCUCCAUAAGCACUGCACACAUGCACAAAUAAAAUAUCAAAAAUGCC
ensembl:lncRNA